CCUACGGGUGGCAGCAGUGGGGAAUCUUGGGCAAUGGGCGCAAGCCUGACCCAGCAACGCCGCGUGAAGGAAGGAGGCCCUCGGGUUGUAAACUUCUUUUAAGGGGGAAGAGCAGAAGACGGUACACCUUGAAUAAGACACGGGUAACUACGUGAAAGACGCCGCGGAAAUACGUAGGGGGCGAGCGUGGUACGGAUUUACUGGGAGUAAAGGGCGGGCAGCCGGGUGGAAAAGUCAGAUGUGAAAUCCACGGGCUCAACCCGGGAACUGCAUUUGAAACUGGUUCACUUGAGUGUCGGAGAGGAAAUCGGAAUUCCUUGUGUAGCGGUGAAAUGCGUAGAUAUAAGGAAGAACACCAGUGGCGAAGGCGGAUUACUGGACGAUAACUGACGGUGAGGCGCGAAAGCGUGGGUAGCAAACAGGAUUAGAUACCCUAGUAGUC
rnacentral:rRNA from 1 species